CAAUAGCGUAUAUUAAAGUUGUUGCGGUUAAAAAGCUCGUAGUUGGAUUUCUGCUGAGGACGACCGGUCCGCCCUCUGGGUGAGUAUCUGGCUUGGCCUUGGCAUCUUCUUGGAGAACGUAGCUGCACUUGACUGUGUGGUGCGGUAUCCAGGACUUUUACUUUGAGGAAAUUAGAGUGUUCAAAGCGGGCCUACGCUUGAAUAUAUUAGCAUGGAAUAACACUAUAGGACUCCUGUCCUAUUCUGUUGGUCUUCGGGAUGGGAGUAAUGAUUAAGAGGAACAGUUGGGGGCAUUCGUAUUUCAUUGUCAGAGGUGAAAUUCUUGGAUUUAUGAAAGACGAACUUCUGCGAAAGCAUUUGCCAAGGAUGUUUUCAUUAAUCAAGAACGAAAGUUGGGGGCUCGAAGAUGAUUAGAUACCGU
rnacentral:rRNA from 1 species